AAUCUUGCGCAAUGGGCGAAAGCCUGACGCAGCGACGCCGCGUGAGUGAAGAAGGCCUUCGGGUUGUAAAACUCUGUCCUCAGGGAAGAAGCAAGUGACGGUACCUGAGGAGGAAGCACCGGCUACAUACUUGCGAGCAGCCGCGGUAAUACGUCGGGGGCGAGCGUUGUCCGGAAUCAUUGGGCGUAAAGGGUGCGUAGGCGGCCUUUGAAGUCAGGUAUGAAAGACCACAGCUUAACGGUGGGGUUGCAUUUGAAACUGGAAGGCUUGAGUAUCGGAGAGGGUAGUGGAAUUCCCGGUAUAGCGGUGAAAUGCGUAGAUAUCGGGAGGAACACCAGUGGCGAAGGCGACUACCUGGACGAAAACUGACGCUGAGGCACGAAAGCUAGGGUAGCAAA
rnacentral:rRNA from 1 species